rnacentral:lncRNA from 1 species
AAAGGUGAUUGUGUUAAACUGCAAAUAACACAGUUUAGUGUUAGUGUUAUUGCUUCUAGAACGUGGAUUUUUUUUUUUUUUUUUUUUUUUUUUUUGAGACGGUGUCUCGCUCUGUCCCCCAGGCUGGAGUGCUGUGGCAGGAUCUCGGCUGACUGCAACCUCCGCCUCCUGAGUUCAAGUGAUUCUUGUGCUUCAACCUCCAGAGUAGCUGGGACUACAGACGCCCACCAUCACGCCCGAAUAAUUUUUUUUGUGUGUGUUUUCAGUAGAGACAGGGUUUCACCAUGUUCGCCAGGAUGGUCUCCAUCUCCUGACCUCGUGAUCCGCCCACCUCGGGCCUCCCAAAGUGCUGGGAUUACAGGCAAGAGCCACAGCGCCUGGCCAAACGUGGACUUCUCGACUCCAAUUCAGUUUGUUUAUUCCAUCAGCAGAUUUCCCUUUCUUUAUAUAAAUGGCCCUAGCAAGGACUGUGGCACCAGCAGCCAUGGUGAGCUGAUGUUCAUUAUGGGAGCACCAGGGAUGGCAGCUGACUCUCCCACCUCUACCCAUGCAUGGAAGGAUUCCGCUAAACCAGGAUUCCGUGUCAGCGCAGAACCCCAUUACAGCCACGGGCAACCUGCAAGAGUCCAGUGACACUGAGAUGCUAGGUCAGUUUGGAAAAGGGGGGCAGAAGCCAGAAGUGAGAACGGGCAAUAUCCAAAUCCAUCCCAGUGCAUUUUAAGGCAGCAGUUAAACAUUAUAUUUUAUUUUAAGAGCGAAAACAUCAAUAUUCAUGCUAAAUGGACAGGGAGUGGUUCAACAGCCAUAAACCAAGACUGUGCAGGACAUGCAAGUUAUGACAUUUUUUAGGACUUAGACGAAAGGAAUUACUUACCUUGUGUUAUUUCAAGGUACUGAUGGAGCACAUGACAUUUCUUGUUGUUAUUGGCAACAAAAAAGAAUGUCUUUUUUGGUAUUUGUCCCACAGCCUUUUUUGAGAGAGCCUCUUCCACCCUUUAAGUAUGCUCUUUAGGAAUGAAUGUAGCCAUGACUCCCAGGGUUUAAAGCUCAUGGUGUUUCUCCUAAUCCAUGCCCUUGUAGGACAUUCCAUCAGGAGCCUCCACUUACCUAGUUACGUGGCUUGAAAGAUGACCCCAAUUCUGAAAUGAGAUGCCACCCUGAGCAGAGGGCCCAGCCAACCUGUGCCUAGAUUCCUGACGCAGGGAACUGUGAGAUAACACAUUGGUGUUGUUUUAAGCUGGUAAAUCUGUGGUACUCAAAAAGCAAUGCAACUUUAAAUAAAAAUAUUGACUAGGAUAAACUAAUUUUAUUUAUAUAUGUGCAUUUAUUUGUGUAUCUGUGUAUGUAAACAUACAUCAACAAAGAGGCUGUCCCUAACCAAACUUUAGACAGGCUCCUCUGAGCUCAUUUUUGGCUAGGCCUCAUCCUUGGUGUGUUCUGCAGUGCCCAGUUUUAGCAAGACUCUGGCCACGUUGGCUUAGCCAGAAUCUCACGCCCUUGAGAUCUGAUCCAAGUCCUUAUUCCGCACCAUCCCCCAAGUGAUUAUCUGAUCUCCCUAGCUUGCAUUCAGCAAGAAUCCUGUCAAGUCCAUUUAGCCAGAAAUCCUUCAUCUCGCUGACUUAAUUCAGUAGUUUUCCAUCAUCCACUGACCACCAACUUGGCUUCUUGGCUAUAAAUCCGCACUUUCCCAUGUUGUAUUAGGAAAUGAACCCAGUUCUAUACUGAGGCCUCUUUUUCCCUGUUUUGACAGCCCUUAAAAUCUGUUUUUACUACAUAUCUCUCUGGCUCUUGUUUUUCUUUAAAAGCGCAGGCAUAUGUAAUAAACACAUAAAAUGCACACAGCCUAUCCACACACUCAUGGGUCAUUUAUAAGAAACUAGACAGCGUAUGGUAAUGUACACAUGCAUGUAUAGUGUAUCCAUGUGUAUAUUACUUACUGGAGAAGUGAGAAGUGAGGAGUUUCCUUUAACUAGGAUAUUAAUGAGGCCCUUAAUUGACCCAAAGAGGUUUGUUGUGAUUUAAUUUUUUCCUCCUGUUCUAUUUCUUCAGUAAACCCGGCAGUAGUCUAACCCUAAAAAAGGAGUUGAUGUCCUUAUAGGUCAUUACCUUUAAAGAAAAC